AUGUUUUUGCUUUGGGGUUCAGGAUUUGGUUUAAUUGUAUUGCACAUUGUGUUCCCCCAUUUUUUAGUUUUGAAAUGUCUUAUAAGAGGUAGUAACAAUUUUCUCUUGGUAAACCUUUUCCACCCAAGUUCUUUUGGCAGCUCACGAUUCAUGGAUAGUCCAAGAAAUGUCACGGAGUUUUUCAUACUGGGACUCUCCCCAAACCCCAAGGUGCAGAGGGUUUUGCUUGUGUUCUUCUUGAUUGUCUACCUGGUCUCUGUUGGAGGCAACCUGCUUAUCAUGAUCACCAUUAUCUCCAGCCCCACCUUGGGCUCGCCUAUGUACUUUUUCCUCUGGUGUUUGUCUUUUAUUGAUACUUGCUAUUCCUCAUGUAUGACUCCCAAACUUGUUGCUGACUCCUUGUAUGUGGGGAGAGCCAUCACUUUUGAGGGCUGCCUGGCUCAGUUCUUUGUUGCCCAUUUACUGGGAGGUGCUGAGAUCAUCCUGCUCACGGUGAUGGCCUAUGACCGCUACGUGGCCAUCUGCAAGCCCCUGCACUACACGGCCCUCAUGACCAGGCACCACUGUGCCCUGCUGGUGGGGCUGGCCUGGCUGGGGGGCUUCCUGCAUUCCAUGCUUCAGCUCCUGCUGGUCCUGCAGUUGCCCUUCUGCGGGCCUAACGUGAUCAAUCACUUUGUCUGUGACUUGUACCCCUUGCUGGAACUUGCCUGCACCGACACCUAUGUCAUUGGCCUGCUGGUGGUGGCCAACAGUGGCGUGAUCUGCCUGUUGAACUUCCUCCUGCUGGCUGCCUCCUACCUGGUCAUCCUGCGCUCCUUGAGGUCCCACAGUGCAGAGGGGAGGCGCAGAGCCCUCUCCACCUGUGGGGCCCACUUCACGGUUGUUGCCUUGUUCUUCGUGCCCUGUAUAUUUAUUUACAUGCGGCCGUCAUCUACUUUGUCCAUUGACAAGAUAGUGGCUGUGUUUUACUGUAUUUUGACACCCAUGUUCAACCCCCUGAUAUAUACCCUGAGAAAUGCAGAGGUGAAAAAUGCCCUGAAAAAUCUCUGGAAAAAAUGA
rnacentral:lncRNA from 1 species